rnacentral:rRNA from 1 species
AUGUUCUCGUCCACGUCGCUGUCCCGUGUCAACAACAUCCGCGCCGCCCUCACCAAUGCGCAGAAAGGAACGCAACCGGUGGCCACCUUCUUCGCGUACAUGCGGGGACUCGCCGACGAGCUCGCCGCGGCUGGCAAGCCGUUGAAGGAUGAUGAGUUAAUCUCGUAUAUUCUCAACGCGCUUGACAUGGAGUACCAGCCCUUGGUGUCCGCCCUCGACGCCCGCACCACCCCGGUCACUCUUGACGAGCUGUUCGGGCAGAUGAGCAACUUCGACCAGCGGGUGGCUCUGUUCCAGGGAGCAGGCGCG